rnacentral:lncRNA from 1 species
ACAUACCUAUAAUAUAAUGGAAAAAAAAAAAAAAACUGAUAGUAACAAGCAUGCGAAAAAAAGUUACUAUUAUAAAAAUAACGACAUAGCUAACGAAAACGAAAUAAAAUAUGUUAAAGAGUUUGACCCAACUUUAGACGAAGACUUGGGUGAUCACUUACCUUCUUUUAACUAUGGUAUUGAUAUUAGUAAUAGUAACAGAGUUAGUAACAUAAAGGACCUGGAUAUAAAUAUUAGUACAUUAAAAGACGAAGUAAUAUCAAACGAGUUAUUGAAUAAUGAUAAUAUAAAUGAUAUAAGCUUAGGAUUAGUAAAAGAUAAGUCUAUACAUAAAAAGGAAAAUGAAUAUGUAAAAAAAAAAUAUGACUAUAUACUAUCACCGGAAAGGGCCGAUCCAUUUAGUAACAAAUCCCCAUCUCCUGGUGAAAGAACAUAUACAGAUGUUAUGUUAGAGAUAAAAAAUGAAUCAAAAAAAAAUAAAAGAAUUAUUAACAAUAACGUUAUUAGUAAUGAUAGUAAUAGUGUUGUUAGUGACGACCAUCUUAAUAAUAAUAAUAAUAAUAAUGACAAUGUUGGUACGAUUACAAGUGUGAAAAGGAGGAAAAAAGAAAGAUGGGGAGAGAAAAUAACCGACACUUCAACUUCAACUUCAACUUCAGUAAGUAUUUACGACAAAAUACAUGAAAGUGGUAGUAUUACUACUAGUGGUACAAUUUUGAAUAAUAAAAAAAAUAACCAUAGUAGUAAAUGGGAUUUCAAAGCUGACGAAAAUGAAACUAGCUUUGGUGAUAUUCCUACACCUGCUCCGAACAAAUGGGUUGACACACCAUUUGUAUUAAAUAACGAAAGUAUUAACAUUACAAAACAAAAAAAAAAAAAAUCUAGAUGGGAUAAAGUAGGAACAGAAAUAAAACAACAUGAUGAUAAAGCACCAGUAAGUGAUAUAAAAACACCACUUGUGUCGGGAGUAGAUAGUAGUACUCCAUAUGUUGGUGGACAAACAAACACAACUCCUUAUAUUGGUGGUAAUACAAUUGCAACUCCUUACAUGGGUGAACAAACUAACCCAUUUUACACACCCAUGACACCCAGUUUGAGUACUCCAUAUAAUGAUACAUUUUUAAAAGCAAAAAUAAAAAACGAGAUGGCUAUGCGAAAUAGACCAUUAACAGAUGAAGAUCUAAAUCAAUUGUUACCGUCAGAAGGUUACGAAAUAGUUAAACCACCAGAAGAAUAUGAAACAUUAAGAAACAAUAAAUUAAAAACCAUGUUUAAAAAUCUAAAUAAUAAUAUGAUAACACCUAUGGUGUCGAAUACAAACGACCCAACUAGGCUAAACCACCAUAUGACUCCUAGUAAUAAUAUGUUAUUAAAUAACAACAAUGUAGUUAUGGGUGGAGCAAGUAAUAGUAUUAGUAGUAAUAAUAAAUUGGUACAUACCGAUGAUACACAACCAAUGUUAAGCACAAAUAUAAAUGGCACACCUUUUUAUAACAUCCCAACAGUAAGUAAUAUAUUAGCCGAAGAAGUAGCAGGAGAAAGUAACAAUACAACCAUGUUAUUACAAAAUAACACAAUCGAAAUUAAAAACCCUCAAUUAUUAUCUGAGUUAAAAUAUGUACAAAUUAAAACAGAGGAUUAUAUAUAUUUUAAUAAAUUGUUUCAAAAUGUAGAAGAAUCUGA